GCAUAGGCACGUUGAAAUGAAAUCUCAUCAUAAAAAUUGCCAUGCGUAAAAAAUCAAUAUCUACCAUUAAUUUUAUCGCAUUUUAUGAUUAUAAAAGCAGUUCUUUACGAAUCAUUGGGUUUUAUUUUUAUUGAUAAAUAGGUACGAGAAUUUUAUCGAUAUUAUAAUAAAUAAAUGAAAAUUUCAAUAAACCAAUUUAUUCCAACAACUUAUUUUGUGGGAUUUAAAAUCGAUAUUAAUCUUAUCAAGUAUCGAGGAACGACUUUUUUAUUCAACGUUGAAGAAAAAAACCAUGUAUGUGUGUAAGUCUUGUCACUUUUGACAGUUACUAUUUUCUUUUUUCUGUUGAAAACUUUAGCCGAAAUUGUCUGAACUGUUUGAACUGAAAAAGUCUCAAGAAGUUUCUUUUAAGUAUCCAAAGAACUCCCAGCGCAGAGGCUGAAGCCAAAGGAGACAUGAUGGUUUUGCAGUGCGAGCAGAUACAAUGCGAUAGCAAGAAGGCGGACACCAUGGAAAUGGUAGCUGCAGCAAGAAAUACACAAACUGCUGUAAAUUAGGCCCACAAUGCCAGAUGAAUGGCAUUCAUAGAAGCAGGACUUGAGUUGUGGAAAAAUGUAGAUAGUAUUCCUAAUCGUAAUUCAUUAAUGAAUCCUACUUAAUAUAACAAAAACAUGUCUUUAAAUGCAUCAACAUGGUACCUAAGUUAUAUACUUUUUUCUAGGCUCUUGAGAAAAAGGAGGAAUAGUUCUAAUUAUGUAAUAACUUGAUUGUUACUGAAUGAUUAUGAGAAUACUCAAAGACUUAUAUGGGAAAUAAGGCUUUUAUCAUUAAUAUUAUUAGUUUUAUUAAAGCUUUGUUGUUUUCCAAGAUGAUUUAGUCAGCAGUGGAUAUCUGACUUUAGAGAACAUAUACUUAGGUAAUUUGGUUAUUCUAGGAAAGAGACUUAAAUAAACAAACUGUGAUUAAUUUGUUGUUUAAAUAAAUAUAAAGUGAAUGUGUA